CAAGUAUUGGAACAGUGAGACUGGAGAAUCGUUUUCGAGCUCGAGCUCGUCUGACCUAGGGUAUAACACACCCAACAGCCCGCGUUUUGCUAAUUGGGCGGCAGGGCCAAGAAACUGCAAACAUGGUCUGGCGUGUGUGAGGACUUCGCACACCCCCGUAAAUCCAUUGCGACGCUUCCAAUGCUGCAGCCGUCGAGGGGUAAGUUAAUUUUCAAAUUUGUUAAAUUUGUUGUUUGCAUCAUAUAGAUCUGUAAAUAAGACUUGAUUUGUGUUGGAGUAGACAAGCGCAGAUUGUGGGUUUUGGGAAUGGCUUGACCCGGAAUUGAAUGACCACUACAAGGACUGCAUUACAAAACUCAGGCUACAAGUUGUUAGGGCUGACGAGGAGCGUGAAGAAGCCAAAAUGGCCGCUACUUUGAGCCUUGAAAGGUUGGAUGCGAGAGUGCGUGAAACCAAUUCAGUGGCUAUGGAGCUGGAUUUAUUGAAGGCCAAGAACGACGCCCUUGAAGGCAUCGUUCGUGGACAGUUGGUGAAGAUUCGCACUACUAAAUGGGUUGUUUGCGUGUUUGCUGUCUUGUUUGCUAUGCUUUGGAUUAGCAAGUAAGCUAGGAUUUGGUUAAGUUAAGGUUGUAGAUAGGUUGAAGAUGACUUAGGUUGUCUUCCUUUUGUAAUAGAUAGACUUAUCUGUAAAUCAACUAUCCGC
rnacentral:lncRNA from 1 species